UGUGCCUGUCUUUUGUAACCCUGCAGAAGGGAGUUUUGUCUGCUUGGGAGCAAUGCGAUUUAAGUCAUUUAAGAAAAUUCUGUCCAGAAGCCAUCUGGGGAGGUGGAACAAGAUUUAUAAACAUCACACAGCACUGAGAAUGUGGAGAUGCCAGCAUUCUGUCUCCUCUCUGGGAUAGAAGUAUAAAUCUGCAAGAAUCCUUCAAGAGCAACUUGGCAAUCUCUACUAAAAGUUUAACUGUGCAUUUUGUUUGUCUGUUUCACUGGUAGAAACAUAUACUUCAAAUAUUCUUACCCAUGUGGACAGGGAAGGACACGGAAUACUCAGCAGGUCAUCAUAACCAAUGAGAAAAACAAAUGGAAAACAAAACAAAACCCCAAACCCGCUAUCUGUCCACCAAAAGAAGACUAGUUCAAUAAAUUGUGAAAGUCUUUUUAAUGGAGAACUACAAAAGAAUAUUUUUAAAUGAGCUAGAUUUACAUAUGUUCCUGUGAAGCAACCCUUGAAGGGGAGGGAAGUGGGGAUGAGAACAGCAAGGUCCACAGUGUGCAGGUUUUAAAUUGUGAUUUUAAAUGGAAAUCAAGAUAUGUACACUUUU
rnacentral:lncRNA from 1 species